AGAGUUUGAUCAUGGCUCAGGACGAACGCUGGCGGCGUGCCUAACACAUGCAAGUCAAAGGAAAGUAGCAAUAUGAGUACUUGGCGCAAGGGUGCGUAAUAUAUAGGUAAUCUGCCUUUCGGUUUGGCAUAACUCCGUGAAAACGGAGAUAAUACCAGAUGAUAUAGCUGUUCCGCAUGGAACUGGUUAUCAAAGAUUUAUCGCCGAAAGAUGAGCCUGUAUCCCAUUAGGCAGUUGGCGGGGUAACGGCCCACCAAACCUACGAUGGGUAGCUGGUCUGAGAGGAUGAUCAGCCACACUGGAACUGAGACACGGUCCAGACUCCUACGGGAGGCAGCAGUGAGGAAUAUUGCUCAAUGGAGGAAACUCUGAAGCAGCAACGCCGCGUGAACGAUGACGGCCUUCGGGUUGUAAAGUUCUUUUAUAGGGGACGAAUAUGCUGCUUUGCGGCACUGACGGUACUCUAUGAAUAAGACACGGCUAACUCUGUGCCAGCCGCCGCGGUAAUUC
rnacentral:rRNA from 1 species